rnacentral:rRNA from 1 species
AGUAAAUAGAUACCCUGGUAGUCCACGCCGUAAACGAUGUCGACUUGGAGGUUGUGCCCUUGAGGCGUGGCUUCCGGAGCUAAACGCGUUAAGUCGACCGCCUGGGGAGUACGGCCGCAAGGUUAAAACUCAAAUGAAUUGACGGGGGCCCGGCACAAGCGGUGGAGCAUGUGGUUUAAUUACGAUGCAACGCGAAGAACCUUACCUACUCUUGACAUCCAGAGAACUUAGCAGAGAUGCUUUGGUUGCCUUCGGGUAACGUCUGAGACAGGUGCUGCAUGGCUGUCGUCAGCUCGUGUUGUG